AGAGUGAACGCUGGCGGCAGGCCUAAUACAUGCAAGUCGAACGGCAGCACGGCAGAGCUUGCUCUGUGGGUGGCGAGUGGCGGACGGGUGAGGAAUACAUGGGAAUCUGCCCAGUCGUGGGGGAUAACGUAGGGAAACUUACGCUAAUACCGCAUGCGCCCGUUCGGGGGAAAGCCGGGGACCUUCGGGCCUGGCGCGAUUGGAUGAGCCCAUGUCGGGUUAGCUAGGUUGGCGGGUAACGGCCCACCAAGGCGACGAUCCGUAGCUGGUCUGAGAGGAUGAUCAGCCACACUGGAACUGAGACCGACGGUCCAGACCUCCGUACGGGAGCAGCGAGUAGGGGAAUUAGUAGGACAAGUAGGGAC
rnacentral:rRNA from 1 species